AGCCCCGGGCGGGAGGCUCCCCACUGCCUGCUACUCCCAGAUCAGAAACAGCUUCCCUAGGGCAGCAGCAAGAGACCAGCCGCCCCAGUGCAGGGUCACGCCUCCACUGCAGCCCAGAGACUGGGGUGCUGGGAAUCACAUGUGAUAUAAAGUCACCUGAGGCCAAGGGCUUCUAAGUCCAGCCACUCAGAGAGAUGUACUCAAGGUCAUCUUGCUGGGUGGCAACUGAGCCCUGUUGGACUCCAAGCUCAGAGUGCCUUCUGUCUGACCCCAACUCAACUCUCCUCUCCUGUCCUCCCCUCCCCUCCCUUCCCCUCCUCUUCCCUCCCCUCCUCUCCCCUCCCUUCCUAGGAGGUGCCUUCUCCACAGUCUAGUGCCCCCAGAUGAGUCCCCUGCCUAAUGGAGUAGAUGGGGAUGAGGGCAAACCAUGUGUCUUGGAACUCCAAGAGCUCCACCAAAAGUCAUGCUGCCCAAGGCCCUAACCCUGUUACAUCAGCCUGUAGGAACUUUGAAUCCUGGUUAGUGAAAUCUCCAGUGCACUCCAGCCCCCUACCAACACUCUUCCAUUUCCACAUCUUGCUCCUGUUCUUCACUGGGUCACCUCCUCUGCUAGAGCCUUCCCAGUUGAGCUCAAUCUGCAUGUAGCUUCAGCCUCUCCUGGAGUCUGAAGUACUUGAUUCCAUCUCCUGUUUAGGUAUUCAUAGUUACCUAU
rnacentral:lncRNA from 1 species